CUUCACUUCAAAUCGGGGGCAUUGGGGCUGAGCCCGAAGCAGGAGGGCAGCAAGGGUCCUGACAUUGUGGACUUGGCCAGGGAGGGGCCAGUCCCUCUCAGCCACCCACAGCUACCUGUCCCGAGAGUAGCUGAAGGGGAACUGGAGGCUGCGGCGUUCCUCUCUCCGUCCCCCUCUCUCUGGUGACUCAUGUGAUAACGAACCGACCUUUUGGAGACAUUCUGUGCCCUCAACAAAAGCGGCCCCUGUCUGGAAACCCCCCCGAGGAGACUGACUUCCUCCCCUGCUGCCUGGGCUGCGGUAGCUCUUCCGGCACCUGCUCUUCAGGCACCUGCCCUGUGCUGGCCCCUCCUGCAACAAUCGGGAGCCCUCACCUCAGUCGGCGCUGCAGAACCAGCCCAGGAGAGCAGCUGGCCUGUCAUCUGCUGAGGAGCGGAGGCGUGCGGGGAUCCGGAGGGGAAGGGGGUCUGGAGUGCUCCGGGGGAGACCCUCAGGGACUGCCCUGCUGCUGGCAGCGCCUGGGCCCACGGCUGAUGGAGGCGUCUCCUGGCCCCCAGGGCUGUGCCCAGGACUGCAAUGGCCUCCCACACUACCUCACUACCCUGGUCCAGGCUCACUGACAGAUGAGGAAACUGAGGCAGGGGCCCUGGUCUCACGGCCAUUGGUGCAGAGCUGGGAUCCACGACCAGAUUCUACCAAUUAAAAAAAGGAAAUGUGGGCCGGGCGUGGUGGCUCAUGCCUGUGAUCCCAGCACUUUGGGAGGCCGAGGCAGGUGGAUCACCCAAGGUCAGGAGUUCAAGAGCAGCCUGGCCAACAGGGUGAAAUCCCAUCUCUCCUAAAAAAACAAAACAAAACAAAACAAAACAAAAACAGAAUUAGCCGGGCAUGGUGGUGGGCACCUGUAGUCCCAGCUACUGGGGAGGCUGAGGCAGAAGAAUCACAUAAACCCAGGAGGCGGAGGUUCCAACGAACUAGGAUCGCACCACUGCACUCCAGCCUGGACAACAAAGUGAGACUCUGUCUCAAAAAAAAAAAAAAAAAGAAAAAAAAAAGGAAAAGAGAAAGAAAAAGAAAAAAAAGUGACAAUUCACAUAGACCCCUGAAAACCUCUGGGCUUAGGGACAGCAAGAGCCUUCCUGGGGCCUCCUGGACCAUGUCGGGGCCUCCGAGGCCUCUGGGACGCCAUCCCUGCUCAGCUUCCUCGCUCUCCUUUUGCCCGAGAACAAGCUCUGUUCUGGCCACGGCGUUGUCUACACAACACAGCUAACUGCUUUGCCAUCAGCCCUCAUACAGAUUUAAAACACACACACACACACACACACACACACACACACACACACACACACAAAAGAUAAGGUUAUGGGCUGCACUGCGUCCCCCAAAUUCACAGAGUGAAGUCCCGACUUCAGGAUCCGCCUGUAUUCAGACACAGGGUCUUUACAGAGGCGACAAAGGUGAAACAAGGUUACCAGGGUGGGCUCUGACCUGACCUACCGGCGUCCUUAAAAGAGGAGGACACAGACACGCAGGAGGGGCGGCCACGCAAGGACACAGGGAGGUGGUGCCGCCUGCCUGCAAGGAGAGGCUUCGUAACAGCCACGCCGCACCUCAACCCGGGACGCCCCCAGGACUGGAGAGAACCCACAUCUGCUGUGGGAGCACCUGGCCACGGUGUGUGCGAGGCGGCCCCGGCAAACUCACGUAGACAGGACCCAGCUCCCCCAGGCCAUCUUUCAAUGGGAGAGGGUGACCCAGUGUUUUCCCAAAACCCAGCACGGUCCCCAGGACGCGUUCCCCACCAGGGUGGGCUGGGCCGGAUCACAGCCCAGGCUCCCAGAGACUUCCGGUGCCACAUCAGCUCACAGAGCUUCCUGUUUCAGCCCAGAUCAGAAACACCAUGAGACGCCCAAGGAGGAAUAUUUUAAUACUUCUGCUAUUUGGCCUCACCCAAAACCAGAAAGUGCAGGGAGUCGUGAAAAUGAAGAAAAUGAUCAGAACCUGAGGGACCAGGCCGUGCCAUCCGAAGACAAUCCUGAGAUCUCUCUCCGGGCCCUGCCCUGCCCCUCCCUCUCUGCCCCCAGCAGGAGCCCCCUUUUCCCCUGGGGCCAAGAACCCAGGCCACACAGGGUGCAGAAGACCCGCCAGGGAGGCCACAGCAGGGGACAGAAAAGAAGGCCCGUCGCUGGCAUGAGGGGUGGCUUCCAUGUGGGGAAACUGAGUCAGUAGCAAUUCCAGAUUGGAGGUCCUAACCAGGUCAGGUAUGCGGGUGCCGCACCGUCAGCCAAGACCACAGCCCCACCUCCUCAACAGCUGGGCCCACGCCAUCGGGGGGGCGUUCCAAGAGACUUAAAAAAACCAUAACCCAACCCCGAGGAGGUGCCCUCUGAGGUGGGGUGUCCCAUACUAGAGUCAGGGUGACCUGAGGACAGGCCAGGCACACAGGGCCACCCUGAGUAAAGACGGGGGACCCAGGAGGGCCUGGGACUAGCCAGGAUGGUGGCUGCUGUGUUGAGAGGGCAUCUGGGACCCCAACCCGCAGCCCCUCGUCUCCUUAUGAGCCAUGGGGCCUCAGGAAAUGCACCCCAUUUCGUGCCUCAGUUUCCCUCCUGGGCUGAACUGUGUCCCCCACAGCCAUGUGUUGAGGUCCUGACCCCAGACCUGUGAGUGUGACCUUAUUUGGAGGCAGGGUCUGCACAGAGGUAACGAGGUUAAAGCAAGGUCAGCUGGGUGGGCCCUGACCCACCCAGACACACAGAGAGAGAACAGGCCACAUGACACGGGGCCGAGGCCGUGGCAGUGCUUCCGCCAGCCAAGAAGCACGGAAGACCUCAGGCCACAAAGCCAGGAGCGGCCUGGGACAGACCCCACUCACGGCCUCGGGGGCCAGCCCUGCUCACACCUUGACCUUGGACUUCUGGCACCAUAACUGUGGGAGGGUGAAUCUCUGGUGGUUUGGGGGCGUGGGGUGAAUCUCUGCUGGUUUGGGGGCGUGGGGUGAAUCUCUG
rnacentral:lncRNA from 1 species